rnacentral:rRNA from 1 species
UACGUAGGGUGCGAGCGUUGUCCGGAAUUAUUGGGCGUAAAGGGUUCGUAGGCGGUUUGUUGCGUCGGGAGUGAAAUCCACUGGCUUAACUGGUGGCUUGCUUUCGAUACGGGCAGACUGGAGGUAUGCAGGGGAGAACGGAAUUCCUGGUGUAGCGGUGAAAUGCGCAGAUAUCAGGAGGAACACCGGUGGCGAAGGCGGUUCUCUGGGCAUGUCCUGACGCUGAGGCACGAAAGCGUGGGGAGCAAACAGG